rnacentral:rRNA from 1 species
GAUCCCUUCGGGGUGAGCUUGGCGCUGACGAGUGGCGGACGGGUGAGUAAUGCUUGGGAAUCUGCCCAGUAGUGGGGGACAACACGAGGAAACUCGUGCUAAUACCGCAUACGUCCUACGGGAGAAAGUGGAGGAUCUUCGGACUUCACGCUAUUGGAUGAGCCCAAGUCGGAUUAGCUUGUUGGUGGGGUAAAGGCCUACCAAGGCGACGAUCCGUAGCUGGUCUGAGAGGACGAUCAGCCACACUGGGACUGAGACACGGCCCAGACUCCUACGGGAGGCAGCAGUGGGGAAUAUUGGACAAUGGGGGCAACCCUGAUCCAGCAAUGCCGCGUGUGUGAAGAAGGCCUGCGGGUUGUAAAGCACUUUCAGUAGAGAAGAAAAGCCUGGGGUUAAUACCCCCGGGUCUUGACGUAACCUACAGAAGAAGCACCGGCUAACUCCGUGCCAGCAGCCGCGGUAAUACGGAGGGUGCGAGCGUUAAUCGGAAUUACUGGGCGUAAAGCGCGCGUAGGCGGCCAGAUCAGUCGGAUGUGAAAGCCCCGGGCUUAACCUGGGAAUUGCAUUCGAAACUGCCUGGCUAGAGUAUGGGAGAGGGAAGCGGAAUUUCCGGUGUAGCGGUGAAAUGCGUAGAUAUCGGAAGGAACACCAGUGGCGAAGGCGGCUUCCUGGCCCAAUACUGACGCUCAGGUGCGAAAGCGUGGGUAGCGAACAGGAUUAGAUACCCUGGUAGUCCACGCCGUAAACGA